rnacentral:rRNA from 1 species
CAGUCGCCGCGGUAAUACGUAGGCAGCAAGCGUUGUCCGGAAUUAUUGGGCGUAAAGGGCUCGCAGGCGGUUUCUUAAGUCUGAUGUGAAAGCCCCCGGCUCAACCGGGGAGGGUCAUUGGAAACUGGGAAACUUGAGUGCAGAAGAGGAGAGUGGAAUUCCACGUGUAGCGGUGAAAUGCGUAGAGAUGUGGAGGAACACCAGUGGCGAAGGCGACUCUCUGGUCUGUAACUGACGCUGAGGAGCGAAAGCGUGGGGAGCGAACAGGAUUAGAUACCCCUGUAGUCCCUGUCUCUUAUAC